CCCUUUUUUUUUUGCUCACUUUUGCGUAAACUUUAAAUAAACGAAGGGUUAAUUGGUGUGCAUUCCAUUAUACUUCAAUUAUUUCAUAUUCCGCUUUAGUUCUCGAGAAGAAAACUUUCAUAUUCCACAAAUCAUCCUACAGACUCUUAAUCUCUCGAACAUCUACAACCAUCGGGGAUUCUCUGCAAUUUCUUCAAGGUUAUCAAAUUGGAUGAUUUGAUAUAUUGAAGAAUGCAAGUUUCUCAUUAAAGAUAUCAUUGUCCCACAAGGAAAUUGCUAACAUUCAUGGAUCCUAGACUAGAUGGGGAAGGAAGGCAAGGUAAGCACAGUUGGUACAAUGCAAAUAUUGUUGCUUAUUGAACUAUGUGUAUUCCAAGCUUCUUCCAGCAUAUAUAGUUGAUGUAGACCCGGAUGAGGUAGAUGUAGCCGAUGGAACAAUGUUGGUGUUGUCACGAUAUACGACCCAAUCCACUUGUAGACCUGGGUUUUUUUUUGACAAUCUGUUGAUAUUGGAUUUCAUCCAUGGAGGUGUAGGGUGCUACCACCUUACGAAAGCAAAGUGAUAUUUGGUCUUUGUAUUUUUCACGUGCUUUCCUCUAUAUCAUGUAAAAGCCGCAUGCAAAAACACUUCUGCUGCUUCUUUAUUAUUUUGGUAAAUAGAUUUAUUUAUUUUUGUAACGAA